CUCAGUUUAUAUCAGAUUAGUACAUAAUCAAAUCUUAAAUCAAACCUUUUGUUCUUAGAGGUCUUUCCAAUUGUAUCAGAGACCUCUUCCCAGGUAGCCCAGACCAAGCCUAGAAUUAUCCUUUUAUAUCCAUUGUAAAGUAUCAGACUUUCCCUGACAAUCCAGCCCUGGAUUCCUCAAUUCCUUGAGGCCAUUGUAAAGCUAAUCAGUCAUCCUUCCCUGUCCUUUAUUCCCCAAAAGGUAUAUAAGACCCCCAAGUUUAGUUACUCUUUGGAUAAUUCCUAGGGUGGGGGAUGUUUUCCAAGACACACUGUUCCCAGUCUCAGAGCUUUGACUCUGUGUGGUAUGAAGGUCUUGACUCUGGGUGGUGGAGGAAUCUUGAGCACACUCUGGUCCCGAUUAAAGACUUGGCCUUUCUAACUGCUUUAGUGUUUGUGUGUUUUCCAAAAUUGACACCUGGAACCAAACCUUCAUUUCAUUUUCCUAGUCUGCAGCUUGAUACUCAGGUGCCCCCAGAGUUCUAUUCUCUUAUUUGAAAGUUAGUACAGUACCUGUUACAUAGUAAGUACCCAAUGAAUAGCACAAUUCUGUCUGUCUGUCUAUGUAUCUGUCUAUCUAUUUGUCUCUCUUUCUGCGGUUUAUUCUUGUCUCUUUGUUCAUCUCUCUGUCUGUCUGUCUGUCUUUUCUUUAGUCUGUCAUUUUAAGUGAGUAUUGUGUAAUUAGAAUUUUGAACCUCAGGAUUUGCUUUCCCAGCAUCCCACUUUUGUUUUGUUACAUUCAUCAGUUUUGGGGAUAAAGUUUGUGUGUGACACACACCCUCUCUUCUCUUUUCCUGUGAACGUGGCUGGGAAAGCUGGCUGUACUUAGCCUUUUACUUUUGUCCUUUUAUUCUUUCUACUUCAAGUAAUUAUUAUUACAUCUUAUAAAAUCUAAUUCUUGGAGUCAUUGGAUAUUGAUUUAAAUUUACAGUAUCAAGAUUUUUCUGUAUUUGAAUAACGUGACACUCUGUGUGACCUUGGGCUAGUCACUACCCCCCACCUCCUCCCACACCACUAGGACUUGAGGCAGUCUUUUUCUUUACAAGCAGCAAAAAGCUGAGUGGAGGCUCAGUGGGUCCCUUUCCCCAGCAGACCUCCCCUCUUGCUCCCUCCCCCAAAAUUUUGGAUGAGAGAUAAAGGGUAUACUCACCAGGACAGUACUUUUCUAGUAGUCACAGCUCUUCCAAGGCAACUAUUGUCUUCUUCUGCCUCCACAUUCUCCCCUGGCUGGCUCUGCUCUUCCCUGAGCUUCAGAAAUGUGGAAUUAAAUCCAGCUUCUGUGAAGUCACUGGCUCUGUUACCAAACAUUCCCUUGUUGCUAUGACAAUUGGGCCCAAACAAACCUCACUCUUAGCCAGGUGAGGCUUGUCACCCUUGACACUGUACUCUCCUAAGAGGAAGUUGGGUAACUGAGUGAAUUUACCCCUCUCACUGCCAUCUCUCCUUGACCACAGAGAGAAUCCAGUGUCCUCUUUGUCACCAGGGAUCCCCUCAUCCC
rnacentral:lncRNA from 1 species